rnacentral:lncRNA from 1 species
GAGCCUAGGAGGAAAUGCGGGCUGAGGGAGGAGCCUGGGACAGGGGCGAGGCUUAAAGUGACGGGGCCCGGAGUAGGCCGGUGGGUGGAGCUGGGACGAGUAUGGGAGGAGCCUGUAGAUGGCGCCGAGGCCACGAAGCUUUCGGCGCUGCUCACAAUCUCAGCCAUACCUGUCAGUCCUUGGGAAGUUUAGCAAAUCUUGUGCACUACUACAGGUAAGAAACUCCAAAAUUAGACUGCAGGAUGCCACAGGAGCUCAAACUAAGAGGGAAGCAUUGUAAAUAUGCAGACUUCUGAUCAGCUUGCAAAACCAGCGUUAUCAACACAAUUUAGAAGAAGAACAAGAACAACAACUUGGAAAAAGCCGAUUGUGUUGGUGCACACCUUUAGUCCCAGCACUCCAGAGGUAGAUACAACCUGACACUGAGAGCCCACUCCAUCUGGCCUGCGAUAAUCUGAAAGUCCCCAAUUCCUGUUAAAUCCCAGGGCUCAGUGUGACCGCAUCAAGUAGAGAUACUGGCUCAGACCUGUAAUCCCAGCAAUCGAGAGGAUCACGGACUUAAAGCUGCCUCAGCGACAUACAGACCUAGGGUCAAACGUAUGACCCUAUUUCAAGAAGCAGUUAAAUUGUUGCUUUCAGAGCAGAAGGAUCAUUUUCGUUAACAAAAUAAAAUAACCCUACAGAAAAGCUAUCCUUUCACUCACUCUGAUG